UUGGAGGGCAAGUCUGGUGCCAGCAGCCGCGGUAAUUCCAGCUCCAAUAGCGUAUAUUAAAGUUGUUGCAGUUAAAAAGCUCGUAGUUGAAUUUCGGGAUCAGAGUGUCGGUCGUGCCUCGGUACGCACUGGUAUUAUUGGUUCCUACCUUCUGAAGAACCGCGAUGUCAUUAAUUUGGUGUCGUGGGGAAUCAGGACUGUUACUUUGAAAAAAUUAGAGUGUUUAAAGCAGGCUUACGCUUGAAUACAUUAGCAUGGAAUAAUGAAAUAGGACGUUUGAUUCUAUUUUGUUGGUUUCUAGGAUUGACGUAAUGAUUUAAUAGGGAUAGUUGGGGGCAUUAGUAUUCAAUUGUCAGAGGUGAAAUUCUUGGAUUUAUUGAAGACUAACUACUGCGAAAGCAUUUGCCAAGGAUGUUUUCAUUAAUCAAGAACGAAAGUUAGGGGAUCGAAGACGAUCAGAUACCGUCGUAGUCUUAACCAUAAACUAUGCCGACUAGGGAUCGGAUGAUGUUAAUUUUUUAAUGACUCAUUCGGCGCCUUACGGGAAAC
rnacentral:rRNA from 1 species